GACAGAGGGGGCAAGCGUUGCUCGGAAUCACUGGGCGUAAAGGGCGCGUAGGCGGCUUUUCAAGUGACGGGUGAAAUCCCUCGGCUUAACCGAGGAACUGCCUGUCAGACUGGAAGGCUUGAGACCGGGAGAGGUGAGUGGAAUUCCCAGUGUAGCGGUGAAAUGCGUAGAUAUUGGGAGGAACACCAGUGGCGAAGGCGGCUCACUGGACCGGAACUGACGCUGAGGCGCGAAAGCGUGGGGAGCGAACCGG
rnacentral:rRNA from 1 species